rnacentral:rRNA from 1 species
UACGAAGGGGGCGAGCGUUGUUCGGAGUUACUGGGCGUAAAGGGCGCGUAGGCGGCGAUCCAAGUUAGGCGUGAAAGCCCCAGGCUUAACCUGGGAACUGCGUCCGAUACUGGGAGGCUUGGAUUCGGGAGAGGGAUGUGGAAUUCCAGGUGUAGCGGUGAAAUGCGUAGAUAUCUGGAGGAACACCGGUGGCGAAGGCGGCAUCCUGGACCGAGAUCGACGCUGAGGCGCGAAAGCUAGGGGAGCAAACGGG